UAGACAAACACAAACUAGUUCUCACCAAAAGUACUUUUGAGAAAAACACUUCUCAAAAUAAGUUGAUUUUUUAAGCUUGGCCAAACAGGCCAUUAAUAAUUCAUAUCUCAAUCAUUAAGCAUGUCUAUUUUUUUAUUUUACAACCAUUUGAUAGGUCUGAAUAAAUCUGAAUGAUUAAAACUUACAACAAAGUAUUAAUAUCAUUAAGAUGCUACCAUUCUAAGAUUUUUGCAAAAAUGGCAUUUCACCAAUGCUUCAUCCACUUUCAUCGCUGACCGUCAUCACCGCCAGUAGGCGCCACCCAUCAUUAUUAACUACCACCACCCACUAUCAUCCACCACUCACAAGACACAA
rnacentral:lncRNA from 1 species